rnacentral:rRNA from 1 species
CCUACGGGAGGCAGCAGUAAGGGAUAUUGGUCAAUGGGGGAAACCCUGAACCAGCAACGCCGCGUGAGGGAAGACGGUUUUCGGAUUGUAAACCUCUGUCCUCUGUGAAGAUGAUGACGGUAGCAGAGGAGGAAGCUCCGGCUAACUACGUGCCAGCAGCCGCGGUAAUACGUAGGGAGCGAGCGUUGUCCGGAUUUACUGGGUGUAAAGGGUGCGUAGGCGGGUUGGCAAGUCAGUAGUGAAAUCCAUGGGCUUAACCCAUGAACUGCUAUUGAAACUGUCGAGCUUGAGUGAAGUAGAGGUAGGCGGAAUUCCCGGUGUAGCGGUGAAAUGCGUAGAUAUUAGGAGGAACACCAGUGGCGAAGGCGUCUUACUGGACCGAAACUGACGUUGAGGCUCGAAAGCGUGGGGAGCAAACAGGAUUAGAUACCCUUGUAGUC